CUUCCAGAAUAUACAAUUUCCCAACUAAAUCUACUGCCGUUAAUGGACAAUAUUUUCCCAACAUUAAUUCCAUUUUAAAAUGUUUGUUUUAUAAUUACAAGAACAUCCAUAGUUACGCUUAGCAACGAUCCUAUAUCUUAGGUCCUUGAUAUAGAACGUGAAUUUUUACUCAAUAAAUAACUUGUAGAGGCAUUAGGAGCAGUAAUCAGCACUGCACCCUCGCCCCCUGCUAAUUAGGGAGCAGCAAUCAGCACUACACCCUCGCCCCCUAAUUAGAUAGCAGUAAUCAGCACCGAGAUAAGAGGUGCGGGCGCCAAGACAAGACCACAAACGGACGCCGCUAUCGCGACGGCGCGAGAUCAGUGCGACGCCUAAUUAAUGCAUAAUUGCUGAUCAGGAAAAUGAUGCUGAAGACCUUGCCAGUCCUGGUAGUUCUGCUGCUGGGCGUUCGGACAAGCCAGGGACAAUGUCCAGAUAUCGCAAAAAAACUUUUUGACCUGGGGCAAACUUUCAAAACUUUCCAGCGACUUCAUACAAGUUUAUUGUCUACCGCCAAGGAACUGCAGCUUGCAACGGAACAAAUUUCUUCCGCCUUAGGUCUGGACCGGAAUAAUGACCACGGAGAUGACUUCAGUUUUGCCCCACCAGGCCACAACCAGCCUAUUGGUUCGACAGCAGCUCAAACAACCACGGUGGGUUUACACGGAGCAAUAACUUCGGCAACCACGGCAAAUGUUCCGGGAGAAAAGGAUUCUGAAACUAUGGUGGAAAUUCCUAUAGGAAAUAACUAUGAUGGUUCCGGGGACGAUGAGGACAUUCCAGUAGAUUCACAUGACGGAGGUUCAGGUGAAGGGCCUUCAUUGCCACAGAUCAUGUGGAGGAGAAUACCAUGAACAUGGAUGUGUGGAAUUUGAGUCAAGAAAACAGAACAUGAACUAAACAUCUCCGAAUGUUGAACAUCCGUAGCGAAGUGUACGAAAUUCCAAAAGUGGUGGUAUUUUAUUUUGAUUUUAUUUUUAAUGUGCGAUCAAUAUGAUUAUUUUUAUAGCAAUUCCAGUGGCAACGAUGUCCCCACAUGAUCCUCCGUAUGUUUGGUACAGAAACAAGCCAUAGCGACGCCUAAUUACCGAUAAACGACGAUAAUUAAAUUAUAAAAUCACUGAAGUUCAGGAGUCUGUCAAGGAAUUAUAAUGAAGAGAAUGCCGCACAAUGCGAGGCGCCCUCGACAACCGAACGCGAACCCAAAAAA
rnacentral:lncRNA from 1 species